UAAUAUUAAAUGGCCGCAGUACUCUGACUGUGCUAAGGUAGCGUGAUUCUUGUUUUCUUAAUUAGAAAUCUGUUCAAAGAAUGAUAUGUAGAAAAUCUAUUGUUUUCAUAUAAAAUGAACUUAAAAUGUUAGUGAAAAUUCUGACUAGUAUUUAAAAGACGAGAAGACCCCAUAAAACUUAAUUUAACUCUCUUUCCUAGAUGUAUAAAAUUUAAAUGGGGACUUUAGAGUAUAUAAAUAACUUUCUGACCUAAUAAUUUAUUCGUUGAGAAGCUACUUUGGGGAUAACAGGGUGAGAUAUUUAGAGAGUCCUUAUCGAUAAAUAUAAUUACUAC
rnacentral:rRNA from 1 species